rnacentral:lncRNA from 1 species
AAAAAGGUCGAUCCUUGGAUUUCUUAGUCCUAAUUCUUAUUUUUUUUUUUUCAGUUAAUGAUUUAAUGAGAGCUACAGUUUUCCAGUGAAUAGAGAAUCAUUAAUCACACACUUUUGACAUCUCUCUGAAUACCUGAAGCACAAGGGAAAAUGACAGAGUUACGUACUACAAAACAAGUAUUGGUACAUGCAAGACUUGGUGCAUUAUUUUGCAAGCAUACUUUAAUUUGUUUGGACAAAGAUUAACAAAGCUAACAGCUUCAGAAACACCAGAGCAAGGCAUACCAUUUACAUUAACACUCAGGGAGGAAGAAGAUUGACCUACUUGAAGGAGAGAAGAAAGCAGCACCAGCUGAAGAAUCUGGGGACCGUCUGCCACCUCUUCUGCCAGAUGGGUGAAAGGUGCGUCCUUCCUGCAGUGCCUCCACAUUGCUGGGUGCUCGCCCUUACAGCAGUAAUUAUAAGGGAGAAAUGUAGCUGUAUACAAUCAAUUCCGUAUUAAGCAUCCUCUCCUGUUAUUUAACGUUGAACUGAUGCAGAGCUUAAUGACUCACUACUUUCUGACAAAUAAUAAAUAUACCACACAGAGGCA